UAGGGAAUCUUCGGCAAUGGACGAAAGUCUGACCGAGCACCGCCGCGUGAGUGAAGAAGGUUUUCUGAUCGUAAAACUCUGUUGUUAGAGAAGAACAAGGACGUUAGUAACUGAACGUCCCCUGACGGUAUCUAACCAGAAAGCCACGGCUAACUACGUGCCAGCAGCCGUGGUAAUACGUAGGUGGCAAGCGUUGUCCGGAUUUAUUGGGCGUAAAGCGUGCGCAGGCGGUUUCUUAAGUCUGAUGUGAAAGCCCCCGGCUCAACCGGGGAGGGUCAUUGGAAACUGGGAGACUUGAGUGCAGAAGAGGAGAGUGGAAUUACAUGUGUAGCGGUGAAAUGCGUAGAUAUAUGGGAGAACACCAGUGGCGAAGGCGGCUCUCUGGUCUGUAACUGACGCUGAGGCUCGAAAGCGUGGGGAGCAAACAGG
rnacentral:rRNA from 1 species